CAGGGAGACAACAAAAUGUUUAAUAUUAUUAUUUUGUCACCUUAGGUCGAUCGGUAUCUCACGUUUUUAAUUUAUUAAGAAUUUCAUUUCCUAAGUUUUUCUAGGUCACACCCAUUUUUUUUCCUGGGCCAUUAGCUCAGGUGGUUAGAGCGCACCCCUGAUAAGGGUGAGGUCCCUGGUUCAAGUCCAGGAUGGCCCAUAUCUCUAUGUUGGGGGUAUAGCUCAGUUGGUAGAGCGCCUGCUUUGCAAGCAGGAUGUCAGCGGUUCGAGUCCGCUUACCUCCACUGAUUACCACCUCUUCCAUAACCGGUAGAAAGGAAAUUUUUUGAGUCGUGAUCAAAUUCUGAAAGAAUCUAGCUUCCUAAUGAAAUCAUUAAGAUGCUGGACUCAUUGAAUUAAUUUCAUUGUUUUCAGAGAACCUUGACAACUGCAUAGAUUUUUUUAAAAGACAAUAAGCAUCUUUAAUGAUGCAGAUUAAUUAUUUGUGCGAAUGCAUUAAUAACAAUUCUAUUAAGCUGAUGCUUCAAUUUUUGAAGUUAUU
rnacentral:tRNA from 1 species